rnacentral:misc_RNA from 1 species
AACCUUAUGGACCUGCGGGCGUAUACCUGCGGAGGGAUCAUUACAGAGUUAUCUAACUCCCAAACCCAUGUGAACUUACCUUUGUUGCCUCGGCAGUAGUUGCUGGGCGAGCCUACCCGGGAACGAGCUACCCUGUAGCGAGUUACCCUGGAACGACUUACCCUGUAACGCCUGCCGGUGGACUACUAAACUCUUGUUAUUUUUAAGUAAUCUGAGCGUCUUAUUUUAAUAAGUCAAAAC